rnacentral:lncRNA from 10 species
AGACUGGCUGCCCCCGAGGGUUCGCGUGAGCGGAGCACGGGGCUCGGGGUGCGGGGGGCUGGUGUGAUGGACGCAUUUGUUCUUCGGUCCCUGACGAUUGUUUCUCAUUUGCCCUCCAAGCCCCAAAUCCUGUCAGUCCACGGCCUUGAUGGAGCGGCCCCCGUGGGACGACCCUGUUGAUUGUGCUAGCGGAUGUUGUCUCCAUUCUGGAUCUGGGAAAAACUGUGGAGUGAAAGCCGGACCUGUUAGGGUUGGGACCUGAAAGCGGACUUUUUCGCUCUCAGACGGGCCCCAGGAAUUUCAUGUUUAACAGAGGUGUCUUCAAGGAGAUGAAACAAUUCAGAAUGACCUAGGCAAUGGGGUAAUUCCUAAGGAACAAGCUAUUCAUUCAUACAGCAUGGACGAAUAUUAAAUGCAUGUUGCUGAGUGAAAGAAGCCAGAAUGAUAAGGCUACAUCCUGGAAAAGUUUAUAUUCUGGAAAAGGCAAAACUUAUAGAGACAGAAACAAAUCAGCCAGUUGUUGCUGGGGUUUGGGAGAGAAGAAUGUUGACUAUGUGAAGAACAAGGGAUCUUGGGGGGCAUCUAUUCCAUAUGCUACUGUAGGGGUGGAUGCAUGAUACUAUCAUUUGUGGAAAACCAUAGAACUUUACAAAACUAACAGUGAACCUUAAUGUCUGCAAAAUUUUACAAAAUCAACUAGGAGGCUGGGGGAUCCCAGGAUGAAAUACAGGCAAUGACAAAAGAGCCUAACUCUAUUACACAUUUAUAACAUAACCGCACCGAAGAGGACUGGUAUUCUAUAACUGUGGAAAUAAUGGAAACUGGAAAACUGAAGACAAAAGGAACUGUACUUAGCACUAUACUCUAGUUGGUAAAGGCGUUUCUCAAGGGGUACCAGUUAACAAUUCUGAGACUGCUGUACAUGUAUGCAGAGACUGAACAAAUAAGUAAAUGGCUGGUACAUGCUCACUCUCAGGGAGGGAGGCCACAGAUAAACAAGAGGAAGAGGCUCUAAUGUCAUGUGUGGUUGUGGAUUAGAACCAGAAACAUAAAUAUGAACUCAUGUUUAGAUUAAUAUAGAUAUUAAUGGAUUGAUAUAGAAAUAAUGAUGAUAUGGGUAUAUAUACAGGUUAGUAUACAGUCAUAUAUUUCUUAUCCCUAUCCACUGAGAGGGCCUAGAAACAACAAUACUCCAGUAGCAACACACACAUCUCGUGCCCAUAUCUUGAUUUCUUUUGCCAUUUCCUAACAAAAGGAGCCAGGACUUCUUGGAGAAAUGGCUGAUUCUAAGACUGGGUCAGAGAGUAUACCAGAUGACGCUGGCACAUCUUCUACUGCUAGAAAGUAAGGAAAUGCUCAAAAAAUAAAACCACGGAGAUAUUUCAAAGGAACACAGAAGCCAAGUGGAACAGCUCCCAGUGGCCAAAGCUGGAAAAAUUGGGGCAAAAAAAAAAAAAAAAGUAUUAGGUUAUAAUCCAAAAUAUAAAAUAAAUAAUCACCAGCCCGUACUAAUGUGCAUAAAUUAUUGAAUAAAUAAGUAAAUGGGUGAAAAGAGAAAACUCUCUCCCAUACAAAGGAAGCCCAAAUAAUUUAUGUAGAUGAUCGCCCUGCAAUGAGGCAGAGGGCAACUCCCUACCCUGUGUUAAGUGUGGAUGGCACUUAGAGACUUGCUUCUGAAGAGCGCAAUACGGAAAGGAGGGGAGAAGUAACUUGGCAAUGAAGAAACCUGACAAACACCAUCUUCUCCAGGCAGCCAAGGUUAACACCAUCAGUGAUAAGUUACGUUGAUAGCCUGUAUUUUUGAUAUGAUGUGUUGAGAAUGUACUUAGUUUCUGUGGUCUUCUUCCCAAACACCUGACACCAGGCUCACCAGGAGAAAAUGAAUCCAAAUUAAGGGACAUUCUACAGAAUACCUGACCAACACUCCCUCCUAAAAACUGUCAAGGUCAUCAAGGAAUGUCUAGGAAGAAGGAAAGUCUGAGAAGUUGUCUCAGCCCAGAGGAGCCUUAAGAAGCCAUGACAGGUAGGGCGCGGUGGCUCACGCCUGUAAUCCCAGCACUUUGGGAGGUCGAGGUGGGCGGAUCACAAGGUCAGGAGAUUGAGACUAUCCUGGCUAACAUGGUUAAACCCCAUCUCUACUAAAAAUACAAAAAAAAUUAGCCACACGUGGUGGCGGGCACCUAUAAUCCCAGCUACUCAGGAGGCUGAGGCAGGAGAAUCGCUUGAACCUGGGAGGCGGAGGCUGCAGCGAGCCAAGAUCGCACCACUGCACUCUAGCCUGGGCAACAGAGCUAGACUCCAGCUUAAAAAAAAAAAAAAGAAGCCAUGACAACUAAAUGGACUGUGAUAUCCUGAACGGGAUACUGGAACAGAAAAAGGGUAUUAAUAAAUCUGAUCAAAGCAGAGAGCUCAGUUAAUAAAAAUGUGUCACUAUUGUUUCCUCAUUUGUUGUAACAAAUGGUGCCAUACUAAUGUAAGAUAUUAAUAAUAGGGGAAACUGGAUGCAGGAUGUGUGGGAACUCUGUACUAUCUUUGCACUUUUCUGUAAAGCCAACACUAUUUUUAUUUAUUUAUUUUUGAGACAGGGUCUCCAUCUGCCUCCCAGGCUGGAGUACAGCGGUGCCAUCACAGCUCACUGCAUCCACGACCUCCUGAGCUCAAUAGAUCUUCCAGCCUCAGCCUACUGAGUAGGUGGGACUACAGAAGUGCAUCACCAUGCCCGGCUAAUUUUUGUAUUUUUGGUAGAGAUGGGGUUUCGCCAUGUUGCCCAGGCUGGUCUCGAACUCCUGGGCUCAAACAAUGUACCCACCUCGGCCUCCCAAAGUGCUAGAAUUACUAACACUUUUGUAAAGUAAAAAGUUUAAAACAAAAAAUAAGAUUGGUAGAUGGAUAGAGGGUUGGAUAGAUAGCUGCGUGAUAAAGCUGUGUGAUAAAAUAUAAGAAAAUAUUAUUGGUAAGAUCUAGGUGCUGGGCAUAAAAGUGUUUGCUGUAAAAUUUCUCUGACUUUACUGUAUGUUGGAAAAUAUGCACAAUAAAAUGUUGGCAA